ensembl:snRNA U6 U6 spliceosomal RNA
UUGCUUCAGCUGCAUAUAUACUAAAACUGGAAUGAUACAGACAAAAUUGGCUUGGCCCCUUUUGCAUGAGGAUGAUAUGCAAAUUCAAGAAGAGUUCUAUAUUUUU